UACGUAGGGGGCUAGCGUUGUCCGGAAUCAUUGGGCGUAAAGAGCGCGUAGGCGGCCAGAUAAGUCCGGUGUGAAAGUCAAAGGCUCAACCUUUGAAUGCCGCUGGAAACUGUCUGGCUAGAGUCCGGGAGGGGCGAGUGGAAUUCCUGGUGUAGCGGUGAAAUGCGCAGAUAUCAGGAGGAACACCGGUGGCGAAGGCAGGUCUCUGGGCCACUACUGACGCUGAGAAGCGAAAGCGUGGGGAGCAAACAGG
rnacentral:rRNA from 1 species